rnacentral:rRNA from 1 species
GACGUAGGGCGCGAGCGUUGUCCGGAUUUAUUGGGCGUAAAGAGCUCGUAGGCGGCUUGUCGCGUCGAAUGUGAAAUCUCAGGGCUCAACUCUGACAUUGCAUUCGAUACGGGCAGGCUAGAGUUCGGUAGGGGAGACUGGAAUUCCUGGUGUAGCGGUGAAAUGCGCAGAUAUCAGGAGGAACACCAGUGGCGAAGGCGGUGGUCUGGGCCGAUACUGACGCUGUAGAGCGAAAGCGUGGGGAGCGAACAGG